rnacentral:rRNA from 1 species
CCUACGGGAUGCAGCAGUGGGGGAUAUUGCACAAUGGGGGGAACCCUGAUGCAGCGACGCCGCGUGGGUGAAGGAGCGUUUCGGCGCGUAAAGCCCUAUCGGUAGGGAAGAAGAUGACGGGACCUGACCACGAAGCCCCGGCUAACUCCGUGCCAGCAGCCGCGGUAAUACGGAGGGUGCGAGCGUUAUUCGGAAUUACUGGGCGUAAAGCGCUCGUAGGCGGUAUGUCAAGUCAAGGGUGAAAUCCCCGGGCUCAACGUGGGAACUGCCUUUGAAACUGGCAAACUGGAGUGUGUGAGAGGAUAGUGGAAUUCCAGGUGUAGGAGUGAAAUGCGUAGAUAUCUGGAAGAACAUCAGUGGCGAAGGCGACUAUCUGGCACAUAACUGACGCUGAGGAACGAAAGCGUGGGUAGCGAACAGGAUUAGAUACCCCAGUAGUC